rnacentral:rRNA from 1 species
CCUACGGGAGGCAGCAGUGGGGAAUAUUGGACAAUGGGCGCAAGCCUGAUCCAGCAAUGCCGCGUGUGUGAAGAAGGCCUGCGGGUUGUAAAGCACUUUAAGCAGGGAGGAGGGGUACUGGCGUGAAUAGCGUUGGUAUCUGACGUUACCUGCAGAAUAAGCACCGGCUAACUUCGUGCCAGCAGCCGCGGUAAUACGAAGGGUGCAAGCGUUAAUCGGAAUUACUGGGCGUAAAGCGCGUGUAGGCGGUUAUUUAAGUCAGAUGUGAAAGCCCCGGGCUCAACCUGGGAAUGGCAUUUGAUACUGGGUAACUGGAAUGUGGUAGAGGGAGGCGGAAUUUCCGGUGUAGCGGUGAAAUGCGUAGAUAUCGGAAAGAACACCAAUGGCGAAGGCAGCCUCCUGGGCCAACAUUGACGCUGAUGGACGAAAGCGUGGGGAGCGAACAGGAUUAGAUACCCUGGUAGUCCACGCCGUAAACGAUGAGAACUAGACGGUGGGGAGGUCACUCUUCGCUGUUGAAGCUAACGCGUUAAGUUCUCCGCCUGGGGAGUACGGCCGCAAGGUGAAACUCAAAGGAAUUGACG